rnacentral:rRNA from 1 species
GACGAACGCUGGCGGCGUGCCUAAUACAUGCAAGUUGAGCGCUGAAGGUUGGUACUUGUACCGACUGGAUGAGCAGCGAACGGGUGAGUAACGCGUGGUGAAUCUGCCUUUGAGCGGGGGACAACAUUUGGAAACGAAUGCUAAUACCGCAUAAAAACUUUAAACACAAGUUUUAAGUGUGAAAGAUGCAAUUGCAUCACUCAAAGAUGAUCCCGCGUUUUAUUAGCUAGGUUGUGAGGUAAAGGCUCACCAAGGGGAUGAUACAUAGCCGACCUGAUAGGGGGGUUGGCCCACAUGGGACUGGGACAAGGCCCAAACUCCUACGGGAGGCAGCAGUAGGGAAUCUUCGGCAAUGGACGAAAGUCUGACCGAGCAACGCCGCGGGAGUGAAGAAGGUUUUCGGAUCGUAAAACUCUGUUGGUAGAGAAGAACGUUGGUGAGAGUGGAAAGCGCAUCAAGUGACGGUAACUACCCAGAAAGGGACGGCUAACUACGUG